rnacentral:rRNA from 1 species
UGUUCCCUACGGGGGGCAGCAGUGGAGAAUAUUGGGCAAUGGGCGCAAGCCUGACCCAGCAACGCCGCGUGAAGGAAGAAGGCUUUCGGGCUGUAAACUUCUUUUAAGAGGGAAGAGAAGAAGACGGUACCUCUUGAAUAAGCCACGGCUAACUACGUGCCAGCAGCCGCGGUAAUACGUAGGUGGCAAGCGUUGUCCGGAUUUACUGGGUGUAAUGGGCGUGCAGCCGGGCUGACAAGUCAGAUGUGAAAUCCCGUGGCUCA